rnacentral:rRNA from 1 species
AUUGACCGCUGGCGGAAUGCUUUACACAUGCAAGUCGAACGAUGAGACCUAGCUUGCUAGGUUGAUUAGUGGCGAACGGGUGAGUAAUGUAUCGGAACGUAUCCAAUAAUGGGGGAUAACUAACCGAAAGGUUAGCUAAUACCGCAUACGCCCUACGGGGGAAAGCAGGGGAUCUUCGGACCUUGCGUUAAUGGAGCGGCCGAUAUCUGAUUAGCUAGUUGGUGAGGUAAAGGCUCACCAAGGCGACGAUCAGUAGCUGGUCUGAGAGGACGACCAGCCACACUGGAACUGAGACACGGUCCAGAAUCCUACGGGAGGCAGCAGUGGGGAAUUUUGGACAAUGGGCGAAAGCCUGAUCCAGCCAUUCCGCGUGAGUGAAGAAGGCCUUCGGGUUGUAAAGCUCUUUCGCAAGGGAAGAAAACUUACUUUCUAAUAAAGAGUGAGGUUGACGGUACCUUGAUAAGGAGCACCGGCUAACUACGUGCCAGCCGCCGCGGUAA